rnacentral:rRNA from 1 species
UUUAACUGAAGAGUUUGAUCCUGGCUCAGAGUGAACGCUGGCGGCAGGCCUAACACAUGCAAGUCGAACGGCAGCACAGGAGAGCUUGCUCUCUGGGUG